UAAAAAGAUACGUUGAGAAAGGUAUGUUAAAAUAGCAGGUAUUAAAAACCACAGGUCUACAAUUUCUACCUAACUUUUAGAAGUCUGUAGUUUUCAGAUCCGCUCUACCUUCUAUUUAAUGAAUAAAUCCACUAUACAUUGUCCACUAUAUGGUCCAAAAAGACCAUCCAUUGAAAGGGAAUUAUUUUGGUGAAUUUGUUUAGGAAUUUAAGAUAAUAAUGGUAAAAUUCAAUAUGUCUGCCAUGUGUGUCAUUAAAAGACCACUAUAGGCACCAACUUCAGCUCAAUUAAGUGGCCUGGGUGCCAGGUCCCUCUAGUUUAACCCUGCAGCUGUUAACAUAGAGGUUUCAGAGAAAAUGCUAUGUUUACACUGCAGGGUUAAUCCAGCCUCUAGUGGCU